UACGUAGGGGGCAAGCGUUAUCCGGAAUUACUGGGUGUAAAGGGAGCGUAGACGGUAAUGUAAGUCUGGAGUGAAAGGCGGGGGCCCAACCCCCGGACUGCUCUGGAAACUAUGUUACUAGAGUACAGGAGAGGUAAGCGGAAUUCCUAGUGUAGCGGUGAAAUGCGUAGAUAUUAGGAGGAACACCAGUGGCGAAGGCGGCUUACUGGACUGUAACUGACGUUGAGGCUCGAAAGCGUGGGGAGCAAACAGG
rnacentral:rRNA from 1 species